ACAUAAGAAGAAUAGUUUACAGUUAACGACUGAGCCGCGACGACGAUCCAUUUAAUGGAAUAGAAAAUUGAUGUGUUUUUGUCUUAAAUGUUUUAUGUACAUACAUAUGUCUGUGUUUAAGAUCGAAAAUCUAUAAACCAUCAUUGAAAAGCUACACACGUACUCAGUUAAAUACAGAAAUAUAUACACAAGUAUAUUUCACCACCAUUUUCACAGGAUUUUAAACGAGUAACGGAAUACACAAUUGCCAGCUGGCUAUUUUCAAGNCGUGUUCGAUUGUGUGAAAUUUGUAUCUAAUGUCAAUCAAACAUGCAUAUUAUUUGCGCUGCCGCGUCUGGCAAAACGCGCUACGGUUAUGGUGUGANCUUCGGUCUAGGAGGAUGGUGGAAAUAGAGGACAGGCUCACCAAUUUAAAUAAUUUGAUCUGUCAAGUUAAAGAGGAGUAUGCUUUAAUGAAAGAACCUNCAGCUAAGAUGUCUAAAAGCUACAAAGUCGCUGAUUACUUUAAUCAACUAGUAAGGGCAGAUGAAGUUAGAAUGGCAAGAAAAAAACCUAAGACUCCAGUUAAAGAAUCUGUAACAGAAACUGCAACAGAAACAGAAACAGUUCCGGACCAGCCAAAUACUCGAAGAAGACCGGUGCGUGGUAUCGCCACAGAUAACGUGCACAUUUGUACCGGUGCAUCGGAUGACGAAACAGGUGACGAGCUGGAUCCUUGCUAAGGAGUAUGGAAAAUAUUAAAACAUUUCGAAGGAUGAACAGGAAAAGAGACAAGUUACGCAAUACUGUUAAAAGUGGCAAAUUUUUUAAAGAUGAGAACAAAGGGAAACAAAACACCAAAACCACCACAAUCAAAAAAAGAACCAUACCACCAAAGCAAACAAGAUAUAGACCCGUCCGCACUAGAAAUUUUGGGCCUUUUAAUAACGUGGGCCAAGUUAACAGAGGAAAAUAUAUUAGCGUCUCGAGAGAGGUACAUAUAUGAAUGACCUCAUAAGUUUCUUCGAUUCAAACCAGCUUAUGAUAAACGGUGUAGAGUGGGUUAUUAGCGAAAAAUGUGCGGAACUUGCUAGUGCAAAACUUGAAAGAGACCAUCAAGGAGGAAACGCAGAAAACAACUACAUAAAUGUAUAAAGGAGCGGAAACUUAAAAAGAAAUAUGGAAGAAAAUUAACGUAAAUGGGUAAACAUGAUGAUAGAUGUACUAUAAAUGAUAUAAGAACAACGCUUCAUGCAGCUAAGCACGGCACCAGAAAAAUGUAGGCAUUUGGGGGAAUCCAGCCCAAGCCACUGCCAGCAAUUGCAGCAAUAGGUGUCUGCUUUGGAAAAUAGUGCACUGACUUGUCGCUGAAUUUAACUCACUUAGGACUAGUGGUCUAAGCAGUCUAAAUUUAUGCGAUUGCGCUUACAGAAAAUGCUGCCUUACCUAACUGAANUUUGUUUAUUAUAAAAAUCAUAGCUCCCGCAUAGUUUUAGUCGUUAAUUAUUUUUUUAAUUGCGGCUCUGAAAUAAAUCUGUAUUAUAUAAAACAUCUGAAGUUGUAUGUAAGUAAGUGAGUACUGUAAGAUAUAUUCUGUAAGAAUUGUGGUGAUCUAAAUGGUAUGUUUUUAGUUUCCCAAGUUAAGUUUCUACCAAAGAUUUUUUAGUUACAAAGACUGUACAGAAUUUUGAGACGAUUUGUGAAGACUAUUCCCUGAUUUUGAAACUUGUGCUUUUUUCCGUUAAGUUACGUUUUUGUCUCUACUUAUGUGCAUAGUAUAUACUCGUAUUAUUUAGUGUUUAAGGUUUUUAUAGCUCAUUUUAGAUUUUUUGAUUUUCUUCAUAUAUUAUAAGUAAUUUAUGCCAUGUCAUAUAUUUUCACAUGCCAAAUGUUAAAUAUCUCUAUGUAAUCAUUUGACNAGUUUGGACGAAUAAAAGACUUUUUCACUUUUAUAUACAACUUA
rnacentral:misc_RNA from 1 species